rnacentral:rRNA from 1 species
GUGGCAGACGGGUGAGUAAUGCGUAGGAAUCUACCUAGUAGUAUGGAAUAGCCAUUAGAAAUGAUGGGUAAUACUGUAUAAUCCCUGCGGGGGAAAGAUUUAUCGCUAUUAGAUGAGCCUACGUUAGAUUAGCUAGUUGGUAAGGUAAUGGCUUACCAAGGCUAUGAUCUAUAGCUGGUCUGAGAGGACGAUCAGCCACACUGGAACUGAGAUACGGUCCAGACUCCUACGGGAGGCAGCAGUGGGGAAUAUUGGACAAUGGGCGAAAGCCUGAUCCAGCUAUGCCGCGUGAGUGAAGAAGGCCUUCGGGUUGUAAAGCUCUUUCAAUAGGGAAGAUAAUGACGGUACCUAUA